rnacentral:rRNA from 1 species
UACGAAGGGGGGCUAGCGUUGCUCGGAAUUACUGGGCGUAAAGCGCACGUAGGCGGCUUUCUAAGUCGGGGGGUGAAAUCCUGGAGCUCAACUCCAGAACUGCCUUCGAUACUGGAGAGCUCGAGUCCGGGAGAGGUGAGUGGAACUGCGAGUGUAGAGGUGAAAUUCGUAGAUAUUCGCAAGAACACCAGUGGCGAAAGGCGGCUCACUGGCCCGGUACUGACGCUGAGGUGCGAAAGCGUGGGGAGCAAACGGG